rnacentral:tRNA from 1 species
CGGGGAUUAGUUUAAUGGUAGAAUGGGCGGCUGGGGGCCGUCCGGUCUGAGUUCGAUUCUCAGAUCCCCGA